GCCCUGCCAAAUUUACCUCACUCACAAUUAAAUGAGCUGAGUGCUAUGUUUUUUAAUUUCAUUUGGAAUGGUAAGACUGAUAGAGUAAAGCGUAGUACUCUUAUUGCAGAUUUUUCACAGGGAGGAUUAAAUAUGGUGCAUUUGCAGUCUUUCUGUACAUAUCUUAAAUUAUCUUGGGUAAAGAGAUUUUUUAUCAAAUUCAGAUGGUACUUGGCAGAAUUUAUUACUAGCAGAACUAAAACAGUUAGGUGGUGACAGAGUCUUUACAUUACAAAAGGAUAAGAUUAAAGAAAUUUCUAAUCGCUUAAAAAAUCCAUUUUGGAAAGACAUAUUUGAAUGUCUACACAUGGCAAAG
rnacentral:lncRNA from 1 species